rnacentral:lncRNA from 1 species
CUAGCAUAAGAUGGUUUUGAUUUUAAUUUUAAUAAAAAUUUUUAUUUUAUUUAUUUAUGAAAUAAAUUAGUUGCAUGUGAUCUUUUAAUUGAUAGUCUUUAUCACUUACAUAUUGAUGCGAAUGUGAGUCUAAAUGAGUAAAUAGUGAGUACCGUAGAUCAAAAGAGAUCUAGAGAUGAAAUUAACUAAAAGUACUUAUGGCAUCAUAGACUAGGCC